rnacentral:rRNA from 1 species
UACGUAGGGUGCGAGCGUUGUCCGGAAUUAUUGGGCGUAAAGAGCUUGUAGGCGGUUUGUCGCGUCUGCCGUGAAAAUCCGGGGCUCAACCCCGGACUUGCGGUGGGUACGGGCAGACUAGAGUGUGGUAGGGGAGACUGGAAUUCCUGGUGUAGCGGUGAAAUGCGUAGAUAUCAGGAGGAAUACCGGUGGUGUAGACGGCUCUCUGGACCGCGACUGACGCUGAGACACGAAAGCGUGGGUAGCAAACAGG